UUAAAUUGAAGAGUUUGAUCAUGGCUCAGAUUGAACGCUGGCGGCAGGCCUAACACAUGCAAGUCGAACGGUAACAGGAAGCAGCUUGCUGCUUUGCUGACGAGUGGCGGACGGGUGAGUAAUGUCUGGGAAACUGCCUGAU
rnacentral:rRNA from 15 species